rnacentral:rRNA from 1 species
GAUGAACGCUGGCGGCGUGCCUAAUACAUGCAAGUCGAGCGAACAGACGAGGAGCUUGCUCCUCUGACGUUAGCGGCGGACGGGUGAGUAACACGUGGAUAACCUACCUAUAAGACUGGGAUAACUUCGGGAAACCGGAGCUAAUACCGGAUAAUAUAUUGAACCGCAUGGUUCAAUAGUGAAAGACGGUUUUGCUGUCACUUAUAGAUGGAUCCGCGCCGCAUUAGCUAGUUGGUAAGGUAACGGCUUACCAAGGCAACGAUGCGUAGCCGACCUGAGAGGGUGAUCGGCCACACUGGAACUGAGACACGGUCCAGACUCCUACGGGAGGCAGCAGUAGGGAAUCUUCCGCAAUGGGCGAAAGCCUGACGGAGCAACGCCGCGGGAGUGAUGAAGGUCUUCGGAUCGUAAAACUCUGUUAUUAGGGAAGAACAAAUGUGUAAGUAACUAUGCACGUCUUGACGGUACCUAAUCAGAAAGCCACGGCUAACUACGUGC